rnacentral:rRNA from 1 species
ACGAACGCUGGCGGCGUGCUUAACACAUGCAAGUCGAACGGAAAGGCCCUGCUUUUGUGGGGUGCUCGAGUGGCGAACGGGUGAGUAACACGUGAGUAACCUGCCCUUGACUUUGGGAUAACUUCAGGAGACUGGGGCUAAUACCGGAUAGGAGCUCCUGCUGCAUGGUGGGGGCUGGAAAGUUUCGGCGGUUGGGGAUGGACUCGCGGCUUAUCAGCUUGUUGGUGGGGUAGUGGCUUACCAAGGCUUUGACGGGUAGCCGGCCUGAGAGGGUGACCGGCCACAUUGGGACUGAGAUACGGCCCAGACUCCUACGGGAGGCAGCAGUGGGGAAUAUUGCACAAUGGGCGGAAGCCUGAUGCAGCAACGCCGCGUGCGGGAUGACGGCCUUCGGGUUGUAAACCGCUUUCGCCUGUGACGAAGCGUGAGUGACGGUAAUGGGUAAAGAAGCACCGGCUAACUACGUG